rnacentral:rRNA from 1 species
CCUACGGGUGGCUGCAGUGGGGAAUAUUGCACAAUGGGCGCAAGCCUGAUGCAGCCAUGCCGCGUGUGUGAAGAAGGCCUUCGGGUUGUAAAGCACUUUCAGCGGGGAGGAAGGCGGUGAGGUUAAUAACCUCAUCGAUUGACGUUACCCGCAGAAGAAGCACCGGCUAACUCCGUGCCAGCAGCCGCGGUAAUACGGAGGGUGCAAGCGUUAAUCGGAAUUACUGGGCGUAAAGCGCACGCAGGCGGUCUGUCAAGUCGGAUGUGAAAUCCCCGGGCUCAACCUGGGAACUGCAUUCGAAACUGGCAGGCUAGAGUCUUGUAGAGGGGGGUAGAAUUCCAGGUGUAGCGGUGAAAUGCGUAGAGAUCUGGAGGAAUACCGGUGGCGAAGGCGGCCCCCUGGACAAUGACUGACGCUCAGGUGCGAAAGCGUGGGGAGCAAACAGGAUUAGAUACCCGUGUAGUC